rnacentral:ncRNA from 1 species
CUGUCGCAACGGCUUCCUGGCGCGUCGGGCUUAUCUAAUGGAGCG